rnacentral:rRNA from 1 species
AUGGCUAGCUUCGAGCGCUCGAGGUGCUGGAACCCACUGACUGGAAAGCUGCAACCGGCCACACGAUAUGCUGGAAGCAGUGUUCCCUGGAGCUGGAACCAUCAUCCAUUUUUGCUGCAAUCAGCAGCUACCAGUGGUGAAGACUACGAGGUACGGUGCUACUACCAGGGAGUUUUUUUGCUGGAACCAGAUCCUGAAGAUGCUGGAACCAUCUUCUUUUUUUGCUGCAACCAGGCAGCUGCCGGCGUAAAGACGAUGAGGUACGGUGCUACUACCAUACAAUUUUUUUGCUGGAACCGGGCGGAAAAAAAGUUGCAUCCGCUAUCGAUCGGUGAUGCAAUGGGACGGCAUCGAGAUGUGUUUUGCUGGAACCGGCAAAAAAAAUUGCUGGAACCCGUAAGAAUUUUUGCUGGGAGGAUAGAUGAGAAAUUUGCAGCGGCCGGCGCAACUUUGUGUCUUUUUGUUGGAUUCGAUGUUUUUUUGCUGCAACCAGCAUGCGAUUUUGCUACUACUGACAAACUAAUGGAGUUUUGUGUUUUUGCUUUUUUUAUGAGGACACGGUGGUGCGAACCGAACGACGGCGAUGAGCGGAGGCGGUGGUGGUGGCUCGGGGAUGUUGCAACCACGGUGGCACGUGCUGGAACCGGUGGCAGGCGAGCUGCAUUUAUCAAUGAAACAUGGGCGGCUGUCGACGGCGAGCGGCGGUGGCGAGCACGGUGGCGGCUGUCGACGGCGACAAACGGGGGUGGGCGGCCGGGCGCUGUGCUGCGCGACGCGGCGAUGACGGGGCGGCCGCCAUGGCCUGCGGUGUUUCUUCAGAUCCGAAACGCGAACAGAGAUGAGAAGGAAGGAGACGGCCUGGAUGAACGAGCAUUCAACGGCUCAGGGUGGGCCAAUCGGGUGGCUGGGGUGCGAUCAGCCGAAACUUUCGGCCGGCGCGCCGGCGCCUAUCAGUUGCCUUUAUCUAUUCAAAAGGAAUAG